GGAAAAGAAACUAACAAGGAUUCCCUUAGUAACGGCGAGUGAAGUGGGAAUAGCUCAAAUUUGAAAUCUCAUAGGUUUACCUGUGCGAAUUGUAGUUUAAAGAAACGUUUUCGGGGGCGGCUUGGGUAUAAGUCCUUUGGAAAGAGGCAUCGUAGAGGGUGAGAAUCCCGUUUAUGAUCCAAUGUCCACUCCUAUGUGAUACGUUUUCUAAGAGUCAGGUAGUUUGGGAUUGCUGCCUAAAAUGGGUGGUAAAUACCAUCUAAAGCUAAAUAUUGGCGAGAGACCGAUAGCGAACAAGUACCGUGAGGGAAAGAUGAAAAGAACUUUGAAAAGAGAGUUAAACAGUACGUGAAAUUGCCAAAAGGGAAACGCUUGGAACCAGUAUUGUUCUCAGGUAAUCAAGCGCACGUUCUGAAAGGGCCGCGUGUGUUGCACUUGCCUGAGGACAGGCCAACAUCAGUUUGGCUUGGGGUAAAUAACCGUGAGAAAGGUAGCUUGGAUUCGUCUGAGUGUUAUAGUCUCCGGCACCGCCCUGAGCUGGACUGAGGACUGCAGCGUUAU
rnacentral:rRNA from 1 species